rnacentral:rRNA from 1 species
GACGAACGCUGGCGGCGUGCCUAAUACAUGCAAGUCGAACGCAGUGGGGACGGGUGAGUAACACGUGGGUAACCUCCCAUCAGAGGGGAGAACACUUGGAAAAAGGUGCUAAACCGAUACUGAUGGAUGGACCCGCGGUACAUUAGCUAGUUGGUGAGGAAACGGCGCACCAAGGCCACGAUGCAUAGCCGACCUGAGAGGGUGAUCGGCCACACGGUGACUGAGACACGGCCCAGACGCCUACGGGAGGCAGCAGUAGGGAAUCUUCGGGAAUGGACGAAAGGCUGACCGAGCAACGCCGCGUGAGUGAAGAAGGUUUUCGGAUCGUAAAACUCUGUUGUUAGAGAAGCGUUAUCUUACCAGAAAGCCACGGCUAACUACGUGCCAGCCGCCGCGGUAAUUC